UGGAGCAAUUCUUACUGGCUCCAAGUUAGACUUCAGUUUUGGUGUUGUCCAUCUCCUGCCACAGUCUUUCUCCUUGCAGGGUCCUGUGCUGCAAUUUUGAAAUUACAAUGCUGAAGUUGAUUUUGGAGUUCAGGUAUCAUAAGGAGACCAGGGUAAGUUUGCACACACCCUCCAGCUGGCACAGCUUCCUGCAACGGGGGCAGCUGAGGGCUGGCGUUCCCUCCGGCAGGCGGGAAGCGUCCCCUGAGCUACCGCUGCGAAGUUUCAUAAAGCUCCUCCGGCAGAUCCCUUCACGUUUUACACCUGCUUUCCAACCGCCUUCAAAGUGUAGACAGAUAGUAACUUAACCUACGGGGCAGAGACUCGUGCAUCCCCUGGCAAUGCCCCAGCGGCCGCUGUGUUGUGCACUGCCUGGCUCAACGUUUCACCAUUACACAGGGAUAUCAGCCAUCUGCUGCAAUGUUUUGGAGCUGGAACUUAAAAUCACCGUUGUCCCUGGGAGACUGGAAUUUACAUUUUCCCUCUUUGGGGCAAGGACCCUCUGGAGCUCCUCUGUGAAACUGUAGUACACAUUAACAAUAACCUAGCGGGAUGGUGGUAACUGGGAGGGCUGUUGUGUGAGGUGUGCUAAUUGCAAUAAGCCAAAUGCAGGGAGCUAACUUUCAAUAGU